UGGAAUGUAACUCAGUGGUAGAGCACUUGUAUCAGAUGCAAUGCACAAGGACCUGAGUUCAAUCCCCAACAUGGCAA
rnacentral:tRNA from 1 species